GCCCCGCCCCGCGCGGCUCCGCCCCGCGUGAUCCCAUGACGCCCGCCCGCCCGCCGCGGCCCAAUCUCCGCCGCGCACCCCCGCGCCCCGCGUGCCAAUGAUGUCAGAGCCUCCCAAUCGCCGCGCGGCAAGCGCCGCGGCUCCUCCUGGCGUGACCGAGCCUGGCCGUGACGGCUCCCGCCAUUGGCCCGAUUCGAAAUUCGCCCAGUCCUGAUUGGCGGGGCCGGCGGCAGGCUAUUUUUAGCAGGUAACUGUUGCCAGUGGGCAGGAUUCAGAUCUUGUUCACAUCAGUGUAACUGUGGUAGCUUCGGAAGAUCAGCAGGGAAAAGGAAAUGAAAAGCAAACUCUAUCAUGGGAGUGGAUAUUCCAUUGUCUGGUAUUUUCUCUUCAACGAGAGUGCUGGUGUGGUCAGGGUGACUGUUCUGUGUCAUCACUGGCAUUUUGCCUGUACCUGCCGCGUGUCCUUGGAUGUCAUAUUUUCUGUACAACUUUACUUUUAGAGCCAUGACUCCCAUCCGUAUUCUUUCUGAGAUUCAGAUAGUCAUAAAGAAGUCAGGAAAUGUCUCUCUGGGAACCCCCUUGUUAAAGGCCUGAUUUUUUUUUUCUUUUUCUCAUUCUUUUAUUUGCCUUAUUUUUCUGUCUAAGAUUUGCUUUUCUCUUUGGUCUAUAUAAUAUGUCACAUUUCUCAAACCAAAGCUACAAAUACUUUCGUAUAGAGGCAGAAGAGUUGUCUGCUUUCACUUCUGUUAGUAGUUAAGUAUCUUCUGUUGCAAUAGUUUUAACAAGAAUUUUAUUGGAUUUAUUGAACUGACUCACAACAUGCAUUUAUGACCAUUACAGUGCCUGCUCUGCAGGAUCUUUAUUUUUCAGAGAUGGAAACACAUCAUUGUGUUAAAAGCUGUGUAUGAUGAUUGCUCUUUCCCCUUUUUAUGGCUAACAGGAAAUUUUUUCUGCAGUUUAAACUGCAGAACAAGAAAUAGUCAACUCAGUUGAGGAGUCGGAGCAGAAAAGCCUGUUACUAUGAUUGUAUAACAUUGAGUAAAUGUUAAUAAUUCGUAGUGGUAAGUUUAGAUUUCAUGAAAAACUGUUAGCAUAUGAUUUUUAUUUUUUUCUUGAAUACAAGAAUUAAUAGUUGAAAUCCUAUUUGUACUGGCAAAAGAUCCAUGUGUGCAAUUGGCAUCCACAUUUUCUGGUAGGUGGUGGACUUGUGGAUCAUCGGUGAGACAAUACUGAGGGAGCU